ACAGACAGCGAAGAAGGAAGAGGCAAGACAGUAUUUAUUAAGGUGCAAAAUACCUCAGAGGCGCAGACUCGGUCUCUAAUCAUUCCUGGAGGAAAGAAAUCAAGACCUUUCAAAGUGAUAAUAGGAUCUACUCUUGCAGCUUUCUUCGGGAUAAUUUUAAGCAUAGCUACUUGCUUUGUUAUUUUCAGAAAGAGGGCACAUGAGUCCAGAAAGGCUGCGGAUAUUUUGGAUUUAGCACCAAUCUUACCGGGAAUUCUAACUCGAUUCUCUUACAAUGAACUGAAAAUAACUACAGAUGAUUUCAGUAGAAAGCUCGGGGAAGGAGGAUUUGGCUGUGUUUAUGAAGGAACACUGAGAAAUGGAACUAAAAUAGCUGUGAAGAAUCUGGAUGGUGUAGGUCAAGUAAAGGAAUCAUUCUUAACAGAAGUAAAGGCAGUCGGUGGCAUUCACCAUAUCAAUCUUGUAAAACUCAUUGGAUUUUGUGCCGAAAAAAGCCACAGGCUUCUAAUCUAUGAGUACAUGGUGAAUGGAUCGCUGGAUAGGUGGAUUACGCAUGAAAAUCAAGAAAAUGGGCUUACAUGGAACACAAGGCAGAGGAUAAUAUCAGACAUCGCCAAAGGGUUAGCAUAUCUACAUGAGGAUUGCAGCCAUAAGAUAAUUCAUUUGGACAUCAAACCACAAAACAUCCUUCUAGAUCAAUAUCUCAAUGCUAAGAUAUCAGAUUUUGGGUUGUCGAAGCUAAUUGAGAAAGACAAAAGCAAAGUUGUGACUAGAAUGAGAGGAACACGGGGUUAUUUAGCUCCUGAAUGGUUGAGCUCGGUAAUCACUGAGAAAGUUGAUGUAUAUGCUUUUGGAAUUGUCCUCUUGGAAAUUCUCUGUGGGCGAAAAAAUUUGGAUUGGUCCCAAGCUGAUGAAGAAGAUGUACAUUUGCUAAGUGUCUUUAGGCGAAAAGCGGAACAAGAGAAGCUCAUCGAUAUGGUUGACAAAAAUGAGGAUAUGCAGCUCCACAGGGAAGCAGUGACAGAAAUGAUGAGCCUUGCUGCAUGGUGUCUACAGGGCGAUUUUUCCAAGAGGCCUUCCAUGUCAUUGGUGGUUAAGGCAUUGGAAGGUUUGGUGACUGUUGAAACCAACUUGAAUUAUGAUUUCACACAUGUACCUGAGGUUGGGGCAGGCAACCAAGAGAGGGAAGUCAUUAUCAGUUCAAAAUUUCCUUCAAUUUUAUCGGGACCAAGGUAAACAAUAUGCUUAAGAUUUUGUCUUUGAAGGAACCAACAUAUGGUUGCGUAAUGUCAAAUAUCGCAACAUUUUCAAUUCUAGCAUAACUUUUUUACCGUGUAUGAGAUUAUAAUUCAUGAAAUGUAAUGUUCAGUAACUUCUAUAUUAAAUUUUUGAGCUUCAUGUUACUAUCAUGUAGAGGCUUCUCAAUCCAUGUGCGAAAAUAAGUAUAAUAUUGUACGUGGUGGUGCAGCUACUGAAUUCAAACCAGAUGAACUGUUCUUGGAUCUUAACCACCAUUAGUUAAUCUUAUGUUAACCAAUUUUUUUAAAAAGAGAUCCCAAGUACCCUUACAAAUUAUUAAUAACAUUUAAUUUGGAAUUAUUUGGCACUUUAAUUCCCUCCUCAUUUAGAUGUGCCAUAAAUGCCAAAGUCCAAGUCAAUUGUUAUUCCACUCUACACAAUAUCUUAAUCUUUGCCCAGUCAAUACACCAAGGGGGAGUUUUUGGCAAAAAUCAUCCUUAAACUAUGCCCCAAAUUUAAACUACAUCCUUAAAGUAUCAUUUUUAGCAGAUAACAUCCUUCAAGUAUUUAAAAGUAACAAUUUUCAUCCUUCUACUUGAAUUUUUUCAGAAAAGUAACAGAUCCCACAAAAAUUAAGUCAUACCUUCGUAAUUACUAUUCUUAGAUAUGUCAAAAAUACUAUUGUGAACAUUUUCGAUAAUUGAGUUUAGCAUUAUGUAAAAUCUUUUAAUUUGACAGNNNNNNNNNNNNNNNNNNNNNNNNNNNNNNNNNNNNNNNNNNNNNNNNNNNNNNNNNNNNNNNNNNNNNNNNNNNNNNNNNNNNNNNNNNNNNNNNNNNNNNNNNNNNNNNNNNNNNNNNNNNNNNNNNNNNNNNNNNNNNNNNNNNNNNNNNNNNNNNNNNNNNNNNNNNNNNNNNNNNNNNNNNNNNNNNNNNNNNNNNNNUAAUCAAUAUUUUGAUCACUUCAAUAUCAGAUUGACCCAAAAACUUAUUGAUCUAAAUACAGUUUGGCUUUGAAAAAGGUAAAGAUAAUUAAGUUCCAGCUUUUUUCCAUUAUUUAAUGAGAAAAAGUGCAGAUCAUGUAUCCUCACACCUUCCAAACAUUUUUUGUUUCAGUAAGCAAUGGUGUCUAAGAUUUUUAAUAUUUUUUCAGGAACUUCUUAGAGCAGGUAAUUAAAAAAAAAUCCAUUAGUAAAUGAGAAAAAGAGCAGAUCAUGUAUCCUCACACCUUCCAAACAUUUUUUGUUUCAGUAAGCAAUGGUGUCUAAGAUUUUUAAUAUUUUUUUCAUGAACUUCUUAAAGCAGAUAAUUAAAUUAUGCAGGAAAACUAUUGUUGAUAGUCACGUGAGCUGCUCAUGUUUUUGUAGGAUCCUUUAGUUUUUUUACGAUAGCUAACAGAAGAAUGAAAAUUGUUCACCUUUAAAUACUUGAAGGAUGUUUUACGCUAAGAAUGAUACUUUAAGGAUGUAGAUUAAGUUUGGGGUAUAGUUUAAGGAUGUUUUUGGCCAAAAACUCCACCAAGGGGUCUCAAACAUUCUUCAAUGUGCUAUUUUUUUCAAAAUUUUAAUUGACUAUGGGUGCGUUCACAUAUUUGGUAGAAUGGAAAAUGUUUUCUAGAAAAAUUAUGGGGCCGGGUUCUAUCUUCCCACUUUCGUUAUUGUUCAACCUUGCAGACAAAUCAAGGUCACUAGGACUUUCAUUUACUUCGUGUUAUGCUUCUGCUCUUCACUCCUCAGUAUUUGAAAACUAAAGGAUCUAGGUGCAUGGAUUUGAUGAUUUUAAUGUAAGUAAGUACAUCGUGUGUGUGUGAAUAAUGUAAGUAAGUACAUCGUGUGUGUGUGAAACUAUUUAGUAAAUUUAUGUUUAGAAUUAUUCUUCAGCAACUUUAUAGUGAAUUACAUAGAUUUCAGUUUUGAGUUAUCACUAGUUAUUUGUAAUCAAUAUGUCUAAGUUUUAUACGAAAACCAACACAGUACAGCCAGUCUUAUAAAUCUAAAUUGUAUGAAUUUUAACCUUGCAUAUACAAUCAGGUUGACGCAGGGCCGUCUUAACCACUAGGUCACUAAAACCAUCGCUUGGGGCCCCAUAUUUUUGGGGGCCCACAAUUUAAAAGAAAUACUUAUAUAUAUUAUUAAAAAAAUUAUAUGUACUUUUAAUUUCUAAAAAAAAACAUGUAAGAAGUAUAAAAAAAAUAAAAAAUGACCAUUAGUUUUCCCACUUUUUUAAGGGAAUAAAACAUUUUUUGGGAAUAAUUUCCUUAAGUGGGAAAUUAUGUUUUCUUAUUUAUCUCCUAAAAGUUUGACCCUAUAUUAUUAUUUACCUUAUUUGACACCCAAUUUUGGACCUCCACAAUACAGAUUAAUCAUCAAGCUUCUUUAAUUUCAAACGAUUUCAAAUAAUUAGUUUUAGGAAAUAAAAUAAUAAUAAUUGAUUUAUUAGGAAAAUAUAUUUUGGACUGGUUUAAGAGUCGCCACUUAAUUUUUAAGAAAAAUCAAGAAAACUAUUCGUUUUUCACAAGACUAAAACAGGAAUCUAGUGAAAAACUUGAAAGGGUUCGGGGUUCUUAUUAACAUUCUAGGAAGGUUUUAAAAGCACCUAGAAUGUCCACUAAUGUGGUUAUCCGACGAUUAACUUAUUUGGCUAAAAUAAUUUUAAUUUAACUCGACUUGCAAAUUUGAACUAUUUUAUAGUUGAAACUAAUUUAAAGGAGAAAAGGGGAAAUAUUGGGAUAUUACCUAAGUGAAAUGUUUUUUGUAAACUUAUUUAUUAUUUAAGUGAAGUAAAAGACGACUAAUUUAGUUAAGUGAUUAAUUCAGAAUGGUGUCUUUUAGGGAUUUGAAGUUUCAAAACCUUAAUACUAAUUUUUUAACAAAUAAGCACGUAAUAGCAGUUAAAUGAAUAGGGAAAGAGAAUUUGGGCCCAAGUCUGGAUCUGUCCGCUUGGGCCAGUAUUUGGGCCCAUUUUCGUUUUGGGCCUUCGGCCCAUUUAAGUCAUUUGUACCUGUCCUAAACUAACAUGAAAUAAAAUAUUAUUUGGGCCUUAGGCCCAAUUUUCACCUGUCCUAAGUCUAAAUUUGGUUCAAAUAAUGGGCUUGGGCCCAUUUAAACUUUCCUCUAUUCUGCUGCAUUUCAAAUGGACUUUGGGCCCAUUUUUUUUUCCAUUUGAGCCUGCUGGAAAUCACUUAAGGUUUUGGGCCCCUAUUUUGCCUUUGGGAAUUUGUAUACAUUCAACGUAUACCAUUGUAUACCACAUGUAUACAACAUCCGAAACAUGUAUUUCAUCUUUGACCCUGUGUUAAAUCUUCCAACUUCACCCUUUUCAACCUGUACACCUUAGUCCGUUGGGACUUGAAUUUUUAAAUACGACUUGAGGAAAUGCAAUUUUGGGCCUCCGUGGCCCAUGGGAAUGAAAAAGAGGGGCACUAGAGCUCCAUGAGCUCACUCAAUAUCACAUGAAACAAGAAAAGGAAGAAAAAGGAUUAAUAUCCGUACUAAUAACUAUGAAACUCAUAAAUAAGGCAAGAUUAUUCAAUAAGAGGAACGACACACUUGAUGGCAUGGCAACAACACAUUUGACAGUAAUCUUAACACAUAUUCCACAGAUGUUCAUGUUCACAAAUUAGAAGCUAGUCAAUCAAACUUUCUCUUUCCCUCUUUUAAUGACACAAUUCCCAGGGGGAGAUAAGCAUAAACAAAUUAAGAUAAUUAAACAGAACAAAUUCAAACAAUUUAAGUCGAUUUGCAGAUGCUUUCCGAGAUAAAAUGAGAUACCAAACUAAAGGCGUUUAACUCAAAAAAAAUAAUAAUAUAGGCCAUGGAUUGCUAAAAUAAACAGAGAGAAAGCCAUACUGCUUAACACUUAAGGAGACACACUAAGAGAAGAAUAAAAAUAAAAAUUAAAUGGACAACUACAUAUUCCUAACUCUACAUGCUCCCGGCCUAUCAAAAUACUAAAACAAUAGUUUUUUUUUUAAAAAAAAAAAAACAAACAUGCUAAGGUGGAAAUAAAGUACAGAUAGGUCCAAAUCCAAUGAAAUUCAAUUAUGCAGAUUUGAUAUAAAGAACAUCAAAUAAUUCUGCUACUAUUUAAAGCAUGGAUACAAGAGUAAAUGUAUAACCGGCUGUUUCAAUGCCAAUUUAAUCAUAUUGAACAGAUAUCAAAGAAUAAAAAUAAAUAAAUAAAUAAAAAAUAAGAAAUACAUAUACAUAUACAUAGACAUAUACAUAUACAUAUACACAUACAUAUACAUAUAUACAUAUACGUAGACAUGUACAUAUAUAUAUACAUAUACAUAUAUAUAUAUAAAUAUAUAUAUAUAUAUAUGUAAAUACCAACAACUAUAACAAAUUAAAAGAAGCUUAAAAAAAAAGAAUAUAGGCAAUACGAUGAGAUCAAACAAUGAUAGUAACCAACAGAGACACAAAUUUCAGCACAUCAAGUAAAGUCUUGCAUAAAAUAGAAAAUUUCUAGGCUUGCAAUCAUAACUCCUAACAGUUAUCCUUCAUGAUCCGGCACUUAUUUCGAAUCGUGCCAUAUGCAGUAGCAAAUAAUGAGGAGGCCUAUGCUUGCAUGCGAGUUAAGGUAAGCAGACACAAGAUAGAAAGAUUCACAUAAAUAGAUUCGAGACUAAAGGCGUCACAUAUACAAAGGGUAAAUCCCGACAUCUAGAUAUCUGGACUCCUACAUUUAGCUAAGAACAAAUGGCGAAUAAUGAGAUGAUUAACCAGAAGCCUAAACAAUGAAGGAGACGGAUCCGACGACCCAUAUUUAAAUCAAAUAGACCUUCAAUCAAAAGUAGAAGACAAAAUAAGGAAGAAACAUAAAAGAAAUCUCGAGAACCCAAAAGAUGUUCAUCACAUGAUAUCGAAAUCGGAAUAAGAUACAGAUGAGGGGAGGAGUGUUACCUUUUUUCGGGCAGCAAAGCUGAGACAAUGGCGAACUUGGAGCGACUUCGGUACCAGCUUAGAACUUCAGAAAUUCAGCAGGUUCCAAGUAACCCACAACUGAGGAGAGAAGUAUAUAUUUAAGAUGUAUUUUCUUAUAUGAAUUCUAUAGCUUAAUGACUCUUCUCUCUGUAAAUCCUUGUGGAAAUUUCCCAACCUCUUUUUCCAAUAUGUUCCCUAACUCCCAAUUUUUCGGCCCCCUUUACAGUGAAGAAGGUAAAGUAUUUAUAGGGGAGAAAUUAGGGUUCCAAAUAGGGGGAAAAACGGAUGAAUUCGGGUGGAAAUUCGAAAUUCAAACGCCAUAAAUUUCUUGCACCAAUUGGGAUAAACACCUUUUUUUAAAAAAAUUCGCCCCAUUCCGGAAGAGGAAAGGGGAGAUAAAUGGUUGGGAUCGCGUGAAUAGAUGAACGUUAGUGAGACGUCGUUCGCUUUGCCGUGUAUAUGUUGCUGCUGCCGUCGAGCAUUUAAUGGCUCUGUCGUUUUCCUGCUAGCGUGAAGACGCUGUUCUUACUCUGUUUGGUUGCUGCUGCUAAUGAAUGUUGCUUCUGGAAAUUUCACGCUAGGUCCUCUUUUGGACAAAGAUUUGGGCCGGGUUGGGUCUGGGGUGUUUUGGGCUGACAGUUGAGUAGAAAUGGGCUGCUGAGGGAUUAUGCAGAUGCUGGAAAAUUGCACUAAAUUGGGCUGAAAAUCUGGCCCAAUUUCAAGUCUCAAGUUAAUUGGAACCUAAGCUAGGGAUGACUAUCUUUGCAAAUUGCGAAAGAACUAUUGAAUUACCAUCGCAAGCAAAUUGAGUUGAAAUUGUAGCCAAAUUGAAUUAAAUAUUUAGCCGAAUGAGUUUAGUUGGUAAUUCGGCUAAAACUAACAAGACGAAUUAAUAGAAAUUAAUUAAUGAGUUUCUUAGUCUUAACGAAAUAAAAUAAUUAACUUAAUUAUAACAUAAUUAAUUUAAAUAUAAACGACUAAAUAACCAAAUGUUUAAACAAAGCUAAAAUCCUUUUGAGACAAUUUUUGAACAUUCAUAACAAUACUAAUUAUAUGCAAAAUUAUAUAGAAGACAUAUUAUUGUUUAAAAUCAUAAAAAGUGACAAAUUAUUUAAGAUAACUUGCAAACUAUAUAUAUAUAUAUAUUAUUUUAUUUUUUUUCAAGAUUUCUAAAAUUAAUUAUUUUAAAUCGUUUGAAAAUUAAGAAGUUCGGAAAUUAAUUAUAUCGGGGAAGGUCAAAAUUGGGUGUCAACAAUAAUAAUAAUAAUAAAUAAAAUAGAAUAAAAAUCUUUUCAAGUCAUUUUAAAUAGCUAAUCACUUAUUUAUAAUUUUUAAAUAAUAUAUGUGUUACGUAUGUAAUUGGUACAUUUUUUUAAUAAGUAUUCGAAAAUGGUCUCAAAAAGAUUUUAGUUUUACUUAAAUACUCUAUUAAAUUAAUUUUGUCUAAAUUAGUAGUUUAUAUUUUGAGUCAUUAGUUCAUUAGGUUAAUUAUUUUGUUUCGUUAAAAUUAAGAAGCUCGUUAAUUAGUUAUAUUUAUUCAUUUCAUUCUAAUUACCUCAAUUUGAUCGAAAUUGCAAUUAAUGUGGCUAUGCGCUUAAGUCAAAAAUUGACCCACAUCUUGGCCCAUUUUUCCAAUUUCCGUUCACCCUUCCAACAACCCAACACCUCAAACACAUUUCCAGAUUACACAGCCCAUUCCAAUAAUUUCCCAGCCGACCCCAAUCCAUUUUCCCUACCCGGCCCAUUUUUUUUCCUUCACAAAAGGAACCCAUUCCAGAAACCCACCAAACAAUACAAUAUACGUACAGCAGUCCCAAAUACAGCAAACAGUAGCCGAAUGCCCCACCCCUGCGCUUUUCUCUUCUUCUCCGUGUGAACCAGACAGCAGCAGUGCACGUUCUCCUUCUCCCUCACGAUUCAACAAACAGCAACGUCCACAACUUUCUCUGCAACAGCUGCCCACCUUGAUCUUUUCAUCUGGAUUUUAGUGGAUUUCGUUUGAAAUCUUGUACAAAGAAUAGUUUUCCCAUCCUUGGGGAAAAAAAAUUGAAUUUGGGGAUUCCAUUGGAAUUCCUGUUCUACCCUUACCCUUUCCGAUUUCCCCCCCGAGAAUUGAACCCAAUUUUUCCCAUCUAUAUAAACCUCUUCUACUUCACUGUAAAAGAAAAAGAGGGGAAUUUUUUUUGGGAGAGCAAAAAAUACUAAGAUCAAUUUAAGCAAAGUAGUCAAAUACAUACAAAAAUACACUUCUAGAAAAGCAGAGGAGAUACUUAGUUUCAGGGUCGAGUCAGACAUUUCUGCCUAUAUAUCUCAACUGUUGUUUGUGUUUGAGCCUUAGAGCGGUGGAAUCGCUCUUCUCAUCGUCCUAGUAUCGCUGCACCGGAAAAGGUAAUAUUCUCGUCCUUUCCUUUCAGACGAUGUAUGUUCUGUUUUGUCACUAUUAGCUUGUCUUGUUAGCUGUGAUUAGCAAUUCAGAUUAUUAUUUUUUUAGUUCGAAACCAUCUUCCGUAGAUGGUUUCAUCUUUAAUCUGAUAUAUGAUGUUCGUAACUUACUUAUUACUUCCGUUAAUGUAAAUAACAUGAAUUGAGUGCUUACUGUCUUAUUUUUUUUAUUUUUUCUCCAUGGCAUUUGUUCUUUAGGGAUUAAUAUUAGCCGUUGUAUUUAUAGAAUCUGUGUUCUAAUAAGCGUUUGCUGCGUAGGCUACGUUAUUUUGCAUUUGCGAGUUGAUGUAUUUCAACUUUCUUACUAACUAAGGCCGAGUAAAAAUGAAUCAAUAAACUGGUCGUUUACACUAUGUUGGAGCAUAUGUUCUUCUAUUAAAUCCUCCAUGUAAAGUGUUUUACCAUGUUAAUUUUACAUAUAUGUCCUUAUUAUCUACACCCUUAAAACAAGCUAAAAUGGAAUUGUAUUGUUUGUAUCUAAGUUAGCUUGAAUUCAAUUAAUGUUUAGUCGUCCUCUUCCUCCUUUCUCCAUUAUUGUUCGGGUUUCGUUGCUUCGCUGCCGAAGAGUGAGCUUUGCUCAAAUCUUUACCUCCUUUACUUAGUAAUUUUGUAUAAGUGAAUAGUCGUUUGCCAUAAAGUUAGUAUAGAAUUGAGUUUCUUAUUUAUUUAUUUAUUUUAAUUUUUCGGAUUUUAGUUUGUUAGAGUUUCAUCCUUGAAAUUAUUUGAAAGCGUGAAUUUUUUUUAGUAGUAAUCGCUCAUUGUAUGGCUUGCUGAUUAUUUAAGCCCCCAUGUUAAUCCCUUGUAGCUCUGUUAUGUAAUGUUUAUGGCCUCUUUUUGAAGCAAAGGAAAAGAUCAGAUUAUGCCUCAUUGUUUUCCAAUAACGUGUAAAAAAAAAAAGAGAUUUUAUAAGAGGCUCUGUGCCACGUUGUGUUAUCAAAUUUUACUAUCUUUUUGUCCUAAAAGUGAAGAUUUUAUUGUAAGCAAUCUAUUGUCAACAUACAGGGUGUGUUUGGUAUGAAGGAAAACAUUUUUCGGAAAAUGUUUUCUAAUUUUCUCAUGUUUGGUUGGGUUAAAUGUUUUGGAAAAUGUUUUUCAAAUCAACUCAUUUUCCUCAAAUUCAAGGAAAAUGACUUCCCUUCAAAAAUCAAGAAAAACAUUUUCCAAAACUUUCCACCAAUUUCAAAUUACAACUUUUUUGUUGAAAAAAUCAAAAAAAAAAAUUGAUGAAAAAGUAAAUUUAAAGCUUAUUUUAAAAAAAUAUUUUUCAACUUCAAUUUUUUUAUCCCACCCUCACCCGACCCACCCCCUCCCUCCAGNNNNNNNNNNNNNNNNNNNNNNNNNNNNNNNNNNNNNNNNNNNNNNNNNNNNNNNNNNNNNNNNNNNNNNNNNNNNNNNNNNNNNNNNNNNNNNNNNNNNNNNNNNNNNNNNNNNNNNNNNNNNNNNNNNNNNNNNNNNNNNNNNNNNNNNNNNNNNNNNNNNNNNNNNNNNNNNNNNNNNNNNNNNNNNNNNNNNNNNNNNNNNNNNNNNNNNNNNNNNNNNNNNNNNNNNNNNNNNNNNNNNNNNNNNNNNNNNNNNNNNNNNNNNNNNNNNNNNNNNNNNNNNNNNNNNNNNNNNNNNNNNNNNNNNNNNNNNNNNNNNNNNNNNNNNNNNNNNNNNNNNNNNNNNNNNNNNNNNNNNNNNNNNNNNNNNNNNNNNNNNNNNNNNNNNNNNNNNNNNNNNNNNNNNNNNNNNNNNNNNNNNNNNNNNNNNNNNNNNNNNNNNNNNNNNNNNNNNNNNNNNNNNNNNNNNNNNNNNNNNNNNNNNNNNNNNNNNNNNNNNNNNNNNNNNNNNNNNNNNNNNNNNNNNNNNNNNNNNNNNNNNNNNNNNNNNNNNNNNNNNNNNNNNNNNNNNNNNNNNNNNNNNNNNNNNNNNNNNNNNNNNNNNNNNNNNNNNNNNNNNNNNNNNNNNNNNNNNNNNNNNNNNNNNNNNNNNNNNNNNNNNNNNNNNNNNNNNNNNNNNNNNNNNNNNNNNNNNNNNNNNNNNNNNNNNNNNNNNNNNNNNNNNNNNNNNNNNNNNNNNNNNNNNNNNNNNNNNNNNNNNNNNNNNNNNNNNNNNNNNNNNNNNNNNNNNNNNNNNNNNNNNNNNNNNNNNNNNNNNNNNNNNNNNNNNNNNNNNNNNNNNNNNNNNNNNNNNNNNNNNNNNNNNNNNNNNNNNNNNNNNNNNNNNNNNNNNNNNNNNNNNNNNNNNNNNNNNNNNNNNNNNNNNNNNNNNNNNNNNNNNNNNNNNNNNNNNNNNNNNNNNNNNNNNNNNNNNNNNNNNNNNNNNNNNNNNNNNNNNNNNNNNNNNNNNNNNNNNNNNNNNNNNNNNNNNNNNNNNNNNNNNNNNNNNNNNNNNNNNNNNNNNNNNNNNNNNNNNNNNNNNNNNNNNNNNNNNNNNNNNNNNNNNNNNNNNNNNNNNNNNNNNNNNNNNNNNNNNNNNNNNNNNNNNCCCCACGCCCCAAAAAAAAUUUAAGUUUGUUUUAAAAAAAAUAUUCAAUUUCAAAAAUUAUUUUCUACUCUAGUAAAAAUAAAAGAUAUUUCUCAAAAAUAUUUUUUCAUUCAUAAAUCAAACACUAAAAAUCUUUUUCGGAAAAUAUUUUCUACUCACCAACCAAACAUGAGAAAAUAAGUCAAAAAUCAACUUGUUUUCCAGGAAAAUAUUUUCCAUGGAAAACAUUUUCCUUCAUACCAAACACACCCACAUAGUCAUUCAUUGAUUAAAAGCUAAUAAAAAUUGCAUGUUUUAUUUCAGUGGCUAUUGUCAAGAAUGCCUUCUCUGAUUGUUGUUGUGACUGUAUGAUCUAGGAAUUUAAUAUAUUUUACCAUAUUCAAGCAUGCUAGAUUAUAGUGUUGCCCCCAUUUGGCUGAUUAUUAAUACCAAUGUAAUAUUUCCUAGCGGAACAAACAAGUGUGGUUUAUCCCAGGAAGUUUGGUUUUUUUUUAGCAUUUGGGAAAUGUUAUCUUGUUAAAUGAGUUGAUUUUAAACUAAGUGCAUUUGUUUUACAUUUUCUUGUUAACUUAAGCAUAUUUGGUUGUGUUAUGUCUUCUUAGUUAGCAUAGUUUGAUAUUUGGAUGUAGCUGAAUCAGUCAUGCUUGAUUUGCUAAAGUUUCAACUUCUCUCAUUUGUUCAUCACAUAGCUAGUAUAUAAUCUUCAAAUAAGCUCAAAGAUUUAGAAGUGUUCAAUGUGUUUUGGAAUAAUAUCAUACGCUGUGAUUGAUUUCCCUAGAUGAUAAUGCAAUGUGGUUGGAAAAUAAUAAUGCUUACAUGUGGUCUCUUCCAAUUCUUGGUGUGUAAGGUUAACUGCAAUUGAAUUUGCAAUGAAAAUGCCAAAGUUUCCUUUAGUUUAAAACUAGUACAUCAAUUAAUCUUCUUAUUCCAUUUGCUAAUUUGUAUUUAUUUGUUCACUUUAUGUAUGUCCGAGUGAGUCCUAUGUAUUCAUGUCUACAUCUCGCAUUUCAAAUGGGCCUCGCAGGUAGGGAUGCGCAUCAGUCGGUUCGGUUUUAGGUGUUAUUGGUUCGGUUUAUCGAUUUUCGGUUUGUAAAUUCGUCAAACCGAUAACCAAACCAAUAACAUAUUUCCUAUCGAUUUUUGGUUAAUCAGUUUAUGGUACUUAACGGUUUGGUUUUUGGUUUAACCAAUAAGAAAAUACUCAUAUAUAUUAUAUACACGAUAAGAAAAUUUUCAAAUAAACCAUAUGAUUUUUCCAGCAUUUGGCAUGAAAGUAAUAAUCAUAAAAGUAACAAUCAUUUUUCUUGCAAGUUUAGACACUAGACACAUUCAAAGGAAAAAGUGUGAAAGUAACAAUCGUUUAACCAUUAACAAUAAGACUAGUAAAUUUAGUAUAGUCUUAUUGGGUUAUCGGUUUAACCAUUAACAAAAAUUAUAAAAUCGGAAAUUGAACCAAUAACCCAAUAUCAAUAAACCAAUAGUGUUUUUUUCGGUUCGGUUUAUUGGUUAAAUUGGUUUUUGCACACCCCUACUCGCAGGCCUAAAUCUCCCUCUUAUCGAGUCAACCUCAUCAUUGGGAGCAUAUGAAGUUCGAAGAGGAAAUCUAUGUUAUAAAAGAAGCUGAAACAGGUCUCAAAAAGCCCAAAAAGAGGUUGUAUACAGCUGUAUGCAUUGAUAUACAGGUCAAAAACACAGGAACACAGGGCGGAGGUGAAACACGGAUGUUCGGAAGCAAGAUAUACAUGAAAAACACCUAUACACACGCUGAUAUACACUGACAUACAUCAGGUGUAUACAAAAAGGGGAAUUGGGUUAAGCCCAAUAGUAGCAGCGAAUUUGGCCCAAAAAGGGCCCAAAUUCAUUUCUCCUUUACCUUUAAAUUAUUUAAUUGUCUUUAUUCAUUGGUUGUUUUUAUUAUCAUUAACUCUAACUUUAGAAUUGUUAAUUAACUUGAUUAAAUUUCCCAAAAGAUGAGUUUAUUUUCUUUGUGUUGGUUUAAUUUUAAUACAUUUCAUGUUUUGUGUUCAUUUAUUUUAGUGAUCAAGUAUAUUGGUCAAAACUUUAUAUCUUCAAUUAAGUUAAAUCUUUUGUACUUAAAAAGAGAUGUUCUUGAAUGUUUUUCACUUAAUUAUAUUUAUUCCUUUUAAAAUUGUUUUUAAGUUAAAGUAUUUUUCUCAAAUAAACUUUAAAAAUGUUAGUUAAAACCUUUUCAAUUAAUAAUUAAAAAAAAUAAAUAUAUAUAUAUACUUACUUAGUCAUUUUCUCAAAAAGGUUAGUCAAUUAAUUUAAAAUGAUGUUCAUGUUUUAAUUUAUUGUUUUAAAUUAUUAUAUCAAAAUGAAUUAAAUAAAUUCUAAUUAAUCUAGUUUUAUUAAUAUUCUAAUCAGUUAUAUUUCGAGUCAAAUGUUUCAUUUCGGAUCCCUUUCUCUAAAAAAAAAAAUGAAAUAAAAUGUAUCAUUUAUUUAAUUUUUUUUUUUAAGUUAACCAAAUAUCGUACAUUAUUAUUCUUAUGUUAAAUCAUUUUUUCUAAAAAAUAGUCAAAACAUAUAUUUUAGUCAAGUCGCAGGUCAACCGCAUGUUAGCGGACACUUUGAAUGCUUAAACCCUUCUCGAAGUGUAAAUUGAAUCCCGAACCCUCUUUGAUAUUUUCAAGUGAUUUUUUCUGUUUAAAUCUUUGAAAAUUAUAAGUUUUCUUAAUUUCUUUAAAAAAUUAAGUGGUGACUCUUUCUAAGUAUUUUUCUGAAAUUGUUUUAUAAUUAGAACAUUUCAAAAGUGAUUUUUCUAGAGAUAGUCAAAUUACGACACAACACUUUAUACUCAUAUUUUUUAUUCUCUAUUUUAUUAUUUUAUUCUCAAUAUUGAACUCUCUCCUACAAUUUUUUUUGUUUUAUUGUUGCUUACAAGUUACAAAAGAACAAAAUUUGCUUUUGGAUGUCUUCUUCAAAAUCUCAAAAUGUGCAACAAGCAAUCGUUAUAUUGAAGGAACACUAAGCUAUUUCGAUAUGUUUUAUCAAUUUAUCAAAUUCAUUAGUCAGGUUUUAUUAUUCUAACUUUAGUUUAUAGUUUUUCUUGAAAAUAUGUUAUUGUUGAUAUAUAUAUAUUAACUAAAAUUGAUAAAAUCUUAUCUAAGAUAGAUGGAAUGUAUUAACUAUAUUAUCAAUUGAAAAGUAAUUAAUAAUUUUGCAUCUAAAAAUGCUAGAAAAUUAGAUUUUAAAUAAAAGUAUAUAUGAUGAUUUUUUUUAAAAAGGGAAUUUAAAAAAAAUAUUAGGACCCCUCUUUAAAAUUUGGCUUUAGGCCCCCAACCUUGUUGAGUCGACUCAGGGUUGACGUCAAGUCUUCUACUGAAUAGGACCGGCCAUCAGUUAUUGUUCAACUGUACAGAACAUCUAAUUAAUAUACAAUGACUUUCAAUCACAAUGUAAAACGAUUUCACUUACAUCUUUCCAUCUUCCUUGAUGGUGCAGAUUCUGGGAUUUUUCAUCCACUUAUUGGAAAAAAACAUUUCUUUUUGACAUAACGUCUUAAUUUUUUGUAAAAGGAGAGCCUAGCUAAUUUAAACUGAUUUGUGCUAAGUCUAAAGAGAGGUCAUAUCCCCAAAAAAGGCACAACAGAAAGAAUUCAUAUAUUUUAGAAAACAAUGUUUGCAGAAAAGAGACUGUAUUUUCCUAUCCUUCUCUUCAUUUAUCUCUUCUUUUGUUCGUCUCAAUUUGCUAUAUCGCAAUCUUUAUGGGACUACAACACCACUCUUCCGAAUUCUACUGCCGGGCUUUCCUCUUUCUGGAUCAACAGGCCGUUUCUUAUUGUUAAUUCCACCACUGACGGCUUCUAUGGUUCGACAACACCCAUACUUCAGCAGGGAAAUGCUGGCCCACGAUUCCUCUGUUGCUUCUACUGCAGGUACAAUGCCACAGAAUGCCUUCUUGGCAUCCUUUUGUAUCACAAUAAAUACAAUGAGGAGAACGGUAUGAUAGAUAAACCCCAGCUAGUUUGGUCUGCUAACAGGAACCAUCCAGUGAAAUUCAAUGCAACCUUGCAACUAGGCCAUGAUGGCAACUUGGUCUUGGUGGACUCUGAUGGCACUCUUGUUUGGUCCACUAAUACUACUGGAAAAUCUGUUUCUGGCUUAAACUUAACAGAAAUGGGAAAUCUUGUGCUCUUUGAUAAGAGAAAACGCGCAAUUUGGCAGUCUUUUGAUCAUCCUACAGAUUCUUUGCCUCCAGGGCAGAAUUUGGUUUCCGGGCAGAAGCUCAUAGCAAGCGUUUCAGCAACUAAUCAUAGUCAAGGUUUGCUUGCUCUUACUGUUCUCAAUGGAAGCUGGGCUGCUUACACAGAUACAGUUCCACCUCAAUACUACUACACUUCAUCCUAUGCUGAUAGUCCUUACUACAGUUUUGAUGGCCAAAGCUUUACUGCUUUACACUAUCCUACUAAAUCAAAAGCUCAAUUCAUGAAGAUUGGGCCUGAUGGACAUAUAAAGGUAUACAAAUGGUCUGUAGUUGAUUGAAACGAAGUAUCUGACAUUUUGUCGCCAUAUGUAGAUAACUGUGGGUACCCAAUGGUAUGUGGAAGUUAUAGCAUUUGUACAAAUAACGGGCAAUGUACUUGUCCGCCACACGAAAACUUCUUCAGGUCAUUUUCUGAGAGGAAACCAGAUCUUGGAUGUUCACAGUUGACUUCCAUUUACUGCAACUCCUCGCAGUAUCAUAGCUUCGUAGAGCUCAAGAAUACUACAUAUUUUGUAUUUCAGUUCAAUCAUGAACUAAGUUCGAAGAUAUUUUGGCUUGAGGGGAAAAAGUUGGAAGAUUGCAAAAGGGCCUGUCUGAGAAACUGUUCUUGCAAAGCUGCUGUUUUCGUAUAUGAUUGGAAAGGGGCUCAAAGAGGGAACUGUUUGUUACUGAAUGAAGUUUUCUCUCUCACAGACAGCGAAGAAGGAAGAGGCAAGACAGUAUUUCUUAAGGUGCAAACUACCUCAGAGGCGCAGACUCAGGCUCUAAUCAUUCCUGGAGGAAAGAAAUCAAGACCUUUCAAAGUGAUAAUAGGAUCUACUCUUGCAGCUUUCUUUGGGAUAGUUUUAAGCAUAGCUACUUGCUUUGUUAUUUUCAGAAAGAGGACACAUGAGUCAAGAAAGGCUGCAGAUUAUUUGGAUCUAGCACCAAUCUUACCGGGAUUCCUAACUCUAUUCUCUUACAAUGAGCUGAAAAUAAUUACAGAUGAUUUCAGUAGAAAGCUCGGGGAAGGAGGAUUUGGCUCUGUAUAUGAAGGAACACUUUGCAGUGGCACCAAACUAGCUGUGAAGCAUCUGGAUGGUGUAGGUCAAGUAAAGGAAUCAUUCCUAACAGAAGUAAGGACAGUCGGUGGCAUUCACCAUAUCAAUCUGGUAAAACUCAUUGGAUUUUGUGCUGAAAAAAACCACAGGUUUCUAAUCUAUGAGUACAUGGUGAAUGGAUCGCUGGAUAGGUGGAUUACGCAUGAAAAUCAAGAGAAUGGGAUUACAUGGAACACAAGGCAGAGGAUAAUAUCAUAUAUCGCCAAAGGGUUAGCUUAUCAACAUGAGGAUUGCAGCCAUAAGAUAAUUCAUUUGGACAUCAAACCACAAAACAUCCUUCUGGAUCAAUAUCUCAAUGCUAAGAUAUCAGAUUUUGGGUUGUCGAAGCUAAUUGAGAAAGACAAGAGCAAAGUUGCGACUAGAAUGAGAGGAACACGGGGUUAUUUAGCCCCUGAAUGGUUGAGCUCGGUAAUCACUGAGAAAGUUGAUGUGUAUGCUUUUGGAAUUGUGCUCUUGGAAAUUCUCUGUGGACGAAAGAAUUUGGAUUGGUCCCAAGCUGUUGAAGAAGAUGUCCAUUUGCUGAGUGUAUUUAGGAGAAAAGCGGAACAAGAGCAGCUCAUGGAUAUGGUUGACAAAAACAACGAAGACAUGCAGCUGCACAGGGAAGCAGUGACAGAAAUGAUGAGCCUUGUUGCAUGGUGUCUACAGGGCGAUUUUUCCAAGAGGCCUUCCAUGUCAUUGGUGGUUAAGGCAUUGGAAGGUUUGGUGACUGUUGAAACCAACUUGGAUUAUGAUUUCACACAUGUACCUGAGGUUAGAGCAGGCAACCAACAGAGGGAAGUCAUUAUCAGUUCAAAAUCUCCUUCAAUUUUAUCGGGACCAAGGUAAACAAUAUCCAUAAGAUUUUUCCUUUGACGGAACCAAUUUAUGGUUGCGUAAUGUCAAAUAUCGCAACAUUUUCAAUUCUAGCAUAACUGUUUUACGGUGUAUGAGCAUGUAAUGUUCAGUAACUUCCAUAUUAAAUUUUCGAGCUUCAUGUUACUAUCAUGUAGAGGCUUCUCAAUUCAUGUUCGAAAAUAAGUAAUAAUGUUGUAUGUGGUGGUGCAGCUACUGAAUUCAAAUGGUAGUAUGCAGUAAGCUUUAUUGUGUUAUGCUAUCAGAAAAGGCCAUUUUCUUGUUUUUUCAUGAGAUAUCCAUCUAUCCAAUGAUCCAUAUACCAUGUAAGCCUGUGUAUUAUGUAUGAUAAUAUGAUUUGGUUAGGGUGGGCUUCUCUUUAUCCAAUUUUAGCACAUUCAAUACGUCGAGAGGAAUCACAACACAAAAACCUUUUGUGCUAUCAUUUUCUAAACUUCUGUACUUGUAAGUUGUAACACUCUUUCUAGCAACUUUGUAAGGUAGUUUAGGCAUCAAAUGGCGUAGUUUAAGUGCCCAAUGCAUAGGGGAAAAGACCAAAACGACCCUGACUUAAAACUGACGAAGUGCCACUCACGGUGGGACUGACGGGCCAUCAUUAGAACCACUUCCCGUUAAUUGGGUCGUGGUUGUGGCCCUGCCCAACAGGGCUCUACUGAAAUGAGCAUAACUUUUUAUUCCGAGCUUGGAUUUUAGCAAACUCGAUGGAGUUGGAAAGAGGAUUCAAUUAUCUUUAAUUUGAUAGGUCAUGGGCCACCUAAUUCAUUAUGUGCUAAAAGAUAUGACCGUUUGAAGUUGACUCAAAAGUCCCUUUUUUUUCUUUAUAACUGUCGACCCUCACCAACGGUCAGACCUACAGUCUGUAGGUCCAACCACCGACAGUACUAGUCGGCCGUGGGUAGGAUUAGAGACCACUAAUUCUUGGACCCCAAUGACGGGACCCCACCAACGGACCGUGGACCACGGCCGUAGGUCUCAUCUUUCGAUCCUGAAAUUCCUCUAAGUUUGGGACUCACCUACUAGACCUACCUACGGCUCGUGCAUUGAAUGACAAACCGUCCUGGUGAACCGUAUAAAAGUACUGGGACCUGACAUCUUUGGAAAAAUAUAAACUCACCAACCACACCAACACCAACAGACCGUUGUCCCACCUACGGGCCAUGGGUGGUGUCGUCUGUGCUGGCACCAGGCCCGUGAACAAACUGACAUUUCUCAUCUCCUUGGACCUGAGGUGUUACAUUAUGAUUCAUGAAAUGUAAUGUUCAGUAACUAAUAUAUUGAAGGAGUAGAGACUAUCAUGUAGAGGCUUCUCAAUUCAUGUGCAAAAAUAAGUAUAAUAUUGUACAUGGUGGUGCAGCUACUGAAUUCAAAUGGUAGUGUGCAGUAAGCCUUAUUGUGUUAUGCUAUCGGAAAAGGCCAUUUUCUUGUUUUUCAUGAGAUAUCCACCUAUCCAAUGAUCCAUUAAUUACCAUGUAAGGUUGUGUAUUAUGUAUGAUAAUAUAAUUUGGUUUGGUUGGGUUUCUCUUUAUCCAAUCUUAGCACAUUCAAUACAUCGAGAGGCAUCACAAAACAAAAGCUUCUGUGCUGUCAUUUUCCAAACUUCUGUUGACUUGUAAGUUGUAACACUCUUUCUAGCAACUGUGCAAGGUGCAAUCAUUUUCCAAAUCCACAUUCUAAUUUGUUUGGUUCAGAUUUUAAGUUUUUACCACUGAACUCGUUAUAUUUUAGUAGUUAAAAAUUUACACGAACCAGAUGAACUAUUAGUGGAUCUUUAGUUACUAACAAUUAAUUUGGAAUUAUUGGGCACUUUCCUCCUCAUUUAGAUUCAGGUCAAGUCUUGUACAGAGAGGGGCCUCAAACAAACUUCUUCAAUGUUCUAUCUUUUUCCAAACUUUAAUUGACUAUGGGUGUGUUCACAUGUUCGGUAGGAAGGAAAAUGUUCUCGAGAAAAAUAAUGGGGCCGGGUUCUAUCUUUCCACUAACGGGACCAUAUUGACCAUUUCCAAGUUACAAUUUCGUUAUUGUUCAACCUUGCAGACAAAUCAAGGUCACUAGAACUUUCAUUUACUUCAUGUUAUUCUUCUGAUCCUCACUCCUCAUAUUUGAGGUGCAUGGAUUUGAUGAUUUUAAUGUAGGCAAGUACAUCGUACUUGGUAAAUUUAUAUUUAGAAUUAUUCUUCAGCACCUAUAUAGGCUCCCUUGUAAUGUGAUUAUGUAAGAGCGGAGUUAUUUUAAUGAUAUGAAAUGAGAUCAAUAUUUAUCUCGCUCCCUCUUCCAUCCUCUUUGUAACCUAUGAUAUUAUCAAGGGCCCGCCUUAGAUAUUUCUAACAAGACUUGUUUUUUUCCCUUAAUCAAUGAAUAGUGACUUAUUUAUCUCCAUCUUCCACCUUUUCAAUCUUUGCCUAAUCAAUACAAAAAAAAACUUCCUCCUUAUGCUAUCAUUUUGCAAGUUAAUUCAUUAACUAUGAGUCUUCCAUAAGAACCAUUCCCAUAUUAAUAUACAAUGACUUUCAAUCAGGCAGAUGUUAUCUUCCCAUUGGUUAGUUGAGAAAUGUGAUUUGGAAAACAUUUCCUUCUGACUUGACGCGUAAAUGAUUCGCAAAAUUGGGUAUCACUGAACUCCACACAUCUCAAAAGUAUUCUUAGCCACAACAUUAUGAACUACUGGAAGAUGCUAACCUACAUGUAAAAUACAGUUUGGAUAUUCUGUAUGCUCAUUUCUUUCUUCAACUAUACACCACAAGAUUCCAUCUAUUUUAUUGGUUUUGAUUAGGAAACAAUGUUUGCAGAACAGAGACUGUGUUUUCCUAUCCUUCUCUUCAUUUAUCUCCUCUUAUGUUCAUCUCAAUUUGUUAUAUCACAAUCUUCUCGGGAAUUCAGCAUCAGUCCUUCGAAUUCUACUGCAGGGCUUGCCGGGCUUGCCGGGCUUGCCGGGCUUUCCUCUUUAUGGAUCAACAGGCCGUCUCUUAGGGUUAAUUCCACGGCUGACGGCUUCUUUACUUUGACAACACCCAUACUUCAGCGGGGAAAUGCUGGCCCACGAUUCCUCUGUGGCUUCUACUGCAUUUACAAUGCUACAGAAUGCCUUCUUGGUAUCCUUUUGUACCACAACAAAUAUGACGAGCCGAAUGGUGUGAUAGAUAAACCCCAGUUAAUUUGGUCUGCUAACAGGAACCAUCCAGUGAAAGUCAAUGCAACCUUGGAACUAGGACAAGAUGGCAACUUGGUCUUGACAGACUCUGAUGGCACUCUUGUUUGGUCCACUCAUACAACUGGCAAAUUUGUUUCAGGCGUAAACUUAACAGAUAUGGGAAAUCUUGUGCUCUUUGAUAAGAGAAAGCGCGCAAUUUGGCAGUCUUUUGAUCAUCCUACAGACUCUUUGCUUCCAGGGCAGAAUUUGGUUUCUGGGCAGAAGCUCAUAGCAAGCGUUUCAGCAACCAAUCGGAGUCAAGGUUUGCUUGCUCUUACUGUUCUCAAUGGAAGCUGGGCCGCUUACACGGAUACUGAUCCGCCUCAAUAUUACUACAUCUCUUACUAUCUUGAGAGCCCUUAUUACAGUUUUGAUGGUCGGACCUUUAAUGCUUUACAAUCUCUUGAUAAAUCAGCAGCUCAAUUCAUGAAGAUAGGGCCUGAUGGACAUUUAAAGGUAUACCGAUGGUUUAUAGCUGAUUGGAACGAAGUAUCUGACAUUUUCUCGCAAUAUGUAGAAAACUGUGGGUACCCAAUGGUAUGUGGAAGUUACAGCAUUUGUACAAAUAACGGGCAAUGUACUUGUCCGCUACAGGAGAACUUCUUCAGGUCAUUUUCUGAGAGGAAACCAGAUCUUGGAUGUUCACAGCUAACUUCCAUUUACUGCAACUCUUCGCAGUAUCAUAGUUUCGUAGAGCUCAAGAAUACUACAUAUUUUUCAUUUAACAUUGAUCAGGAACUAAAUUCGAGCAGAUUAUGGCUUGGGCAGGCAAAGUUGGAAGAUUGCAAAAGGGCCUGCCUGAGUAACUGUUCUUGCAAAGCUGCUGUUUUUGAAUAUGGUUGGAAUGGGACUCACAGAGGGAACUGUUUGUUACUGAAUGAAGUUUUCUCUCUCAAAGACAGCGAAGAAGGAAGAGGCAAUACAGUAUUUCUUAAGGUGCAGAAUUCCUCAAAGCCGCAGACUCAGUCUCUAAUCAUUCCUGGAGGAAAGAAAUCAAGACCUUCCAAAGUGAUAAUAGGAUCUACUCUUGCAGCUUUCUUUGGGAUAAUUUUAAGCAUAGCUACUUGCUUUGUUAUUUUCAGAAACAGGACCCGUGAGUCCAGAAAGGCUGCGGAUAUUUUGGAUCUAGCACCAAUCUUACCGGGAAUCCUAACUCGAUUCUCUUACAAUGAGCUGAAAAUAAUUACAGAUGAUUUCAGUAUAAAGCUCGGGGAAGGAGGAUUUGGCUGUGUUUAUGAAGGAACACUGAGAAAUGGCACCAAAAUAGCUGUGAAGAAUCUGGAUGGUGUAGGUCAAGUACAGGAAUCAUUCUUAACAGAAGUAAAGGCAGUCGGUGGCAUUCACCAUAUCAAUCUGGUAAAACUCAUUGGAUUUUGUGCCGAAAAAAGCCACAGGCUUCUAAUCUAUGAGUACAUGGUGAAUGGAUCGCUGGAUAGGUGGAUUACGCAUGAAAAUCAAGAAAAUGGGCUUACAUGGAACACAAGGCAGAGGAUAAUAUCAGAUAUCGCCAAAGCGUUAGCAUAUCUACAUGAGGAUUGUAGCCAUAAGAUAAUUCAUUUGGACAUCAAACCACAAAACAUCCUUCUAGAUCAAUAUCUCAAUGCUAAGAUAUCAGAUUUUGGGUUGUCGAAGCUAAUUGAGAAAGACAAAAGCAAAGUUGUGACUAGAAUGAGAGGAACACGGGGUUAUUUAGCUCCUGAAUGGUUGAGCUCGGUAAUCACUGAGAAAGUUGAUGUUUAUGCUUUUGGAAUUGUCCUUCUGGAAAUUCUCUGUGGGCGAAAGAAUUUGGAUUGGUCUCAACCUGAUGAAGAAGAUGUCCAUUUGCUGAGUGUAUUUAGGAGAAAAGCGGAACAAGAGCAGCUCAUUGAUAUGGUUGACAAAAAUGAGGAUAUGCAGCUCCACAGGGAAGCAGUGACAGAAAUGAUGAGCCUCGCUGCAUGGUGUCUACAGGGCGAUUUUUCCAAGAGGCCUUCCAUGUCAUUGGUGGUUAAGGCGUUGGAAGGUUUGGUGACUGUUGAAACCAACUUGAAUUAUGAUUUCACACAUGUACCUGAGGUUGGAGCAGGCAACCAAGAGAGGGAAGUCAUUAGCAGUUCAAAAUUUCCUUCAAUCUUAUCGGGACCAAGGUAAACAAUAUGCUUAAGAUUUUGUCAUUGAAGGAACCAACAUAUGGUUGCGUAAUAUCAAAUAUUGCAACAUUUCCGAUUCUAGCAUAACUUUUUAUAAUUCAUGAAAUGUAAUGUUCAGUAACUUCUAUAUUGAAUUUUUGAGCUUCAUGUUACUAUCAUGUAGAGGCUUCUCAAUUCAUGUGCGAAAAUAAGUAUAAUAUUGUACGCAGUACGCGGUGGUACAGCUACUGAAUUCAAAUGGUAGUGUGCAGUAAGCUUUUUUGUGUUAUGCUAUCGGGAAAGGUCUACAAAGCAAGUUUUAAAAAAAUUCUCUAUUGAACAACUUGAUCAAUGAUCAUGUCCUAAUCAGAGUACCCAAGUUUGCCUCUUUUUUGUGAGGGAAAAAUAUUAAUAAUGCACAUCGCCUCGUAACAGGGAAAUAGCAGUAUACAACAUCCCCAGUGGAAUCCCACCAAGUGGGGCCUGGGGACUGGGGAGGGUAGAGUAUACGCAGACCAUACCUCUACCUUGGAGGUAGAGAGGUUGUUUCUAAUAAACCCUCGGCUCAAGAAAAAAAAAUAGUAUAGAAGUUCUUUUAAAUCACUAACCCUCUUUUGUGUACUGACAAAUUUGUUUGUGAGUGUGUGUUUCCGCCUUUUAUUUUCUUAAAACUCUUAGUGUGGGUCGACUAUAGGCCACCAAUUUCAUUGAGCCACUCCUGCUCGCCAGCUCCAUUUUCCAUCUCUAGUCAAUAGUCAGCUGCUGAAAAAAGUGAAGAAAAUAAAAGUUUGGAAGAUAGUCCCUCUACUUCAAAAUAAGUGGUGUGGGCACACUUCUGAAGAAAACCACUCAGUCCUACAAGACAAAAGUAAAAUGUGCUACUCCCUCCGUCCUUUUUAAUAUGUCAUCCUUCCUAUAAAUAAUUGGUUCAUAAUAUUUUUCAUUUUAGAAAAUUAAUGCACAAAAUAUAAUAUUUUUCCUAUUAUAUCUUUGAUAGUUAAUUAGUCUUGAAUAUAGAUAUUUGAUCAACCUAUGAAAAUUAUAAGUAAUUGAUGUUCAUUGUAAUUACUUUAUACAUUGAUUAAUUACUCUCACCAUUGCAUUACUCUAUAAAAUCUGAUUUUGAAAAGGAAAUCUCAACAAACAAAUUAAAAAUGAAACAUGGAUUUAUUUAUCAUUUAUGGAAAAGUUGACUUCAAAAAAACAUUAAAUAAGGGUAGAAUUGUAAACUUACUUAGUUUCUUAAUGCUAGUGAAAUCUAAAAAUGUGAUAUAUUAAAAGGAAUGAGAGUAAUAAAUACUCCAUCUAUCCAUAAUUAUUUGUCCAAGUUUCCUUUUCUACUUGUCCCUUUUUAUUUGUUCAUUUUGACAAAUCAAGAAAUGACAAAAAAAAAAAAUUACCUAUUAUACUCUCAAUUAAUUAAUUUCGGAAAAGGUAGAACUUUUGAAAAGCUUAAAUUUUUAAUUCAUCUUCAUGAUUAAUAGGGUAAAAUGAUAAACUCACUAUGUCAAUCAUUAUUUUCUUAAUAAGUGUCAAUUUAAAAGUAGACAAGUAAUUAGGAAUAGAGGAAGUAUCUUGAAAAGGCAUAGCUUUUUUAUCAUUUUUUUGUUAUGUGAAACUCCCUUUAUUUGUAAGGGUAAAAUUGGAAGAAAAUCAUUAAUAACUUUUUUAUCAUGUAAAACACCAUUUAUUUUUUAAAUUGAGGGAGUAAUAACAAAUUGAAGAAGUCAAAUUAUUGACUAGGUAUAGUUAGAAUUUAGUUAUAGUUUUCUUUCUUCUUAUUGUACACAACGAACAAUAAUUCACAUGGAAUUUUGCUAAUGAGCCCAUCAUGAAUUACUCGUCCUAAACGAGGAGGCGAUUGUCAAAAUAACAACAUACCUAGUAUAAUUUCACAAGUAAAAUCUAGAGAGGAUAGUGUGUAUGCAUUCUUACCCCUUCCUUGCUUUGCGAGUGAGUGCCAAAAUUGAGGAAAUUAAUUUGUUUUCAUCCCAAAAAAAAAAAAAAAAAAACAUUCAACAGAAGAGAAUUUUAUUUUCUCCCAUUUCCGUGAAUUCAAUAUCCUCGACACAAUAUCUUUCUCGGUCUUUUGGCUAAGAUCAAGUGUAGCUAAGAGUGUCAAAUGGACAGGUCGGGUUGAAAUUGGACAUAUUAAAAUGAGUUGAAAUAAAAAUUAGGUUGGGUCAUGACUCACCUAAAUUUGGUUUGGGCUCAAAUGGGCUAAAAAUCGGGUUGUGUCAUGACCCAUCCAAAUUGACCAUGGAUCUUUAGGUAUUAGUAAUGCAAAGAUAUUCAACACAUGCAUUAGUAUGGUUAACGGCCUUCACGCUAGGGGUGGCAAUUGGGCAGGUUGGGUUAAAUUUGGGCGGGUCAAAAUGGGUCAAGACCCAACCCAAAUUUGUUUGGGCCAAAAUGAAUUGGGUCAAAACGAGUUAGGUAAUGGGUCAUAACCCAACCCCCCAAUUUUACUAAGUUUUAAUAGUUUUAUUUGUUAUUUUAUAAGCUUUUAGUACCUAAUAAAAUUAUUAUUUUCUUUAUUAUAACUAUAUAUAACAUAUAAAAUAAUUUUAAAAAAAAACUAAUAAGAUUUUGACAAGAUUUCUCAAAAAUGAAUUUGGGUUACAUAUCAACCCAAUUUUUAAAGGCUUGAAAUGGGUUGAGUUGAGAUAGGUUGAGGCGUUGAGCUAACAAAUGAGCUGGUCAAUAACAAAUUCAAACCUAAAUGGAUUGGAUCGAAUUGAGCUUGAUUUUGCCACCCUACUUCACGCGUCGCCUAGGCUUUGCACUACAGCCCAAGCUUGGCACACCCCAUCAUAAAAAAUAAAAAAUAUAAUCAACACAGGAAAAAAAAAACAUUAAACAACUGAUAUAUUUAUUUCUUGUGCUCCCCAUAUGAACAUAGUACAUGAAAAAUCAGAUACAAACUAAUGAAAACUUAAAUGGUUUGUCAACACUCUGGAAAAUUGAAAUUAAUAAUCAUAUUCACACUUUACUUUAUAAACUGAAUUUAUUAACGUGAUUCGUUUUCCAAUUUCAGUAAAUAAAAUAUGAAGUCAUUUAUUAUAGUCAAAGUCAGCUGCUAAAACAGCGUUAAAAGUCAACAGAAGUUUGGAAAAGGACACUAGCACAUGGUGGAAAUUAAAUGUCAUGCCUUUUUACCUAAUGUUGCGCUCGGACUCUUCAAAAAUAUUGAUAGGUGCAUGUUGGAUACUUAAAAUAAUGCAUUUUUGAAGAAUUCAACAUGGAUGCAGCAACGUUUUGGGAGAGUCCGAGCAACAUAGCCUUUUACGGAUUGAAAAAAGAGACCCAAGCUAAAAGAAACUGAAUCAUGGAGCAAAAUACAAUUAAAAUAAUAUGUACAGAAGAAGAUUGGCCCUAGUUUUGAUUGUGGGGUUGAACAAUUAUUGAGUUGAAAUUUGGGAAUUGUUCUUUAAUGGAAAAUGAUAGCAUAAGAAAGAAUUUUUGUGAUUGGAAAGGGAAACCCACUCAAAAGGUAACUCAUUUGUGAAGCUAAAUAUACAUUUAGAAAUGUCACCGUUGGAAUUUAUUCAUGGUUUUCUCUUCUUUUUUUUAUUAUUGAGAAAUCCGUCGGGAUCACCCCAAAGACCUAUCAUAGCUUUAAAAACUUGUGAUAACGGACUCAUCCCUUUACCUUUCUCCACUUAAAUACCAGAUUUAGUUCGUCCCUCAAUCUUUGUCAAUUGAACUAAGUAUUGGACGCAAUGAUUGUUGUCUCGAGACUCUAUUUUCCUAUCUUUCUCAUCAUUUAUCUCCACAUUUAUUCAUCCAGGUUUGCUUUUUCUCAACAUUGGUGGAAGUUAAAUGACAGUCUUUUGAAUUCUACUUCUGGAAUUUCCACAUCCUGGAUCAACAGGCCGGUUUUUAUUGCUAAUUCCACCGCGAACUUCUAUGCAGUGACACCCAUCCUUCUGAGUGGAACCACUGGCCCUAGGUACCACAUUUGUGGCUUCUACUGCAAUUACAGUGCCACGGAGUGUGUUCUUGGUAUCCUAUUAGUAAUAUUCCAACACAGCUCCACCGGUGAGAAUAUCGAUUAUAUAUAUGAACCACAAUUAGUAUGGUCUGCUAACAGGAACCGUCCUGUGAACGUCAAUGCAACGUUGCAACUAGGCCAAGAUGGAAACUUGGUUUUGACAGACUCUGAUGGCACCCUUGUUUGGUCCAGUAAUACUACUGGAAAAUCUGUUUCAGGCUUAAACUUGACAGAAACGGGGAAUCUCGUGCUCUUUGACAAAGCCAAUCGCGCAAUUUGGCAAUCUUUUGAUCAUCCUACGGAUUGUUUGCUCCCGGGGCAGAAUUUGGUGUCCGGGCAGAACCUUAUAGCAAGUGUUUCAGCAUCCAAUUGGAGUGAAGGUUUGUUUACUCUUACUAUUCGAAAUGGAAGCUGGGCUACUUACAUAGACUCUGAUCCACCUCAGUUUUACUACUCUUCACCUUAUUCGGAUAACCGUUAUUUCAGUUUUGAUGGUAAAACCUUUACUGCUUUAAAACACCCUCCUAGACCAGCACCUCAAUUCAUCAAGCUUGGGGCUGAUGGACAUUUACGCGUAUACCAACAGGGUAAUUUUUUUCAAUGGACAGAGGUAUCUGACAUUUUAACGCCGGAUUUUGGGAACUGUGGGUACCCAAUGGUGUGUGGAAGAUACAGCAUUUGUUCGAAUGAUGGGCAAUGUAGCUGUCCAGUUGAAGGAAAUUUCUUCAGGCCAUCUAACGAUAGGAGACCACAUCUUGGAUGUACAGCGUUAAUGUCUAUUUCUUGCAACUCUUCGCAGUAUCAUAGUCUCGUAGAGCUCAAGUACACCACAUAUUUUGCAAUUGACUUUAAUGUCUAUCAACUAAGUUCGAGAUUAUGGUCUGAGGCAAAAAAGUUGGAAGAUUGCAAAAGGGCCUGUCUGAGUAACUGUUCUUGCAAAGCUAUUGUUUGGGCUCAGACUCAAAUGAAAAACUGCUUAUUCCUGAAUGAAGUCUUUUCACUCAUAGACAAAGAGGAAAGAGUAUACAACAACAUGACCAUCUUUCUUAAGGUACAUAAUUCGUCAAACGAACAGAUCAAUCAUUCACCAAACAUUUCACCUGGACAGAAAUUCAAGCCUUACAAAGUGAUAACAGGAUAUACUCUUGCAGCUUUCUUUGGGAUAAUUUCAAGUAUCACUAUUUGUUUUAUUAUUAUGAAAAAGAAGAGAUAUGAGUCAAGCAAGGGUGAUAAUUUUCUGGAUCUAGAACCGCUCUUACCAGGAAUUCUAACUCGAUUUUCUUACAAUGACUUGAAAAUAAUUACAGAAGAUUUCAGCAUAAAGCUCGGGGAAGGAGGAUUUGGCUCCGUAUAUGAAGGAACACUCAGUGAUGGAACCAAAAUAGCUGUGAAACAUCUGGAUGGUCUAGGUCAAGUAAAGGAUUCAUUCUUAACAGAAGUAAAGAUACUCGGUAGUAUUCACCAUGUCAAUCUGGUAAAACUCAUAGGAUUUUGUGGCGAAAAGAGCGAGAGUUUUCUGAUCUAUGAGUAUAUGAUAAAUGGAUCUUUGGAUAGGUGGAUUUCUCCUGAAAAUGAAGAGAAUGGACUUAAAUGGCACACAAGGAAAAGGAUAAUAUCAGAUAUUGCGAAAGGGUUAGCUUAUCUACAUGAGGACUGCAGCCAUAAGAUAAUUCAUUUGGACAUCAAACCACAAAACAUCCUUCUAGAUCAAUAUUUCAAUGCUAAGAUAUCUGAUUUUGGGUUGUCGAAACUAAUUGAGAAAGACAUAAGCAAAGUUGUGACUAGAAUGAGAGGAACGCCAGGGU
rnacentral:lncRNA from 1 species